ensembl:lncRNA
CAGCAGGCCUGUGAGGAGCAGUGCAUGCUGGGAGCCUGCUGCUUCCGUUUCACUGGCUCCGAGCGCCGUCGCCAUGGAGCGCUCAACUCCUCCUUCCCAGAGUCCUCUGCAGGAGACGCCGAGUGGGCGGGGCCGGGCCUGAACGUGUCACUGGAGGCGUGGCAGAGCUGCGGCAGCAGACCAAUCAGCUGCGAGCACGUGUCUGUCUCUCAGUGUCAGCACAAGGGCACAGCGGUCAGCUUCUCGCCGGGACGUCCCUGCCCUGCCCAAGGGUGUGUGUCGGCUCGCCGCGGCGAGUGUGUGUGUGUGUUUAACGGGCGCUCCUUCAAGCCGGGCGAGGCCUUCGAGGUGGGGUGCGAGGCGUGCGUGUGCACCUACCGGGGGGUGGUCGAGUGCACCUGCCGAUCGCCACAGCCACGCAAGGAGAUCCGAGACCUCAGUCAAUCAGAGCUGAGGGAAUAUCAGCGGGCCGUGCGAGCACUCUACCUCCAGCCAGACGGGUGGGCAGAGUUUGCAAAGCUGAGGGCAGAGUUUGUUCCCGAGGCGAACGGGCGCGGCUCCUUCCUGCCGUGGCACCGGUACUUCCUGUGGAGCUUGGAGCGCGCGCUGAGGAACGCCUCAUCCUGCGGCGUCUCGGUGCCGUACCUGGAGUGGACGGUGGACGCCGGCGCCCUGGACUCCUCCGCCGCCUGGCAGGCCCACGUGUUCGGGGGCGACGGUGACCACCGCACCGAGUGCGUAUGGCUCCAUCCCUUCCAACCCGCCGACCGGCACUGGUCGCCAUGCCUGCGGCGCCGCUUCGACGCCACCGUGUCCGUGCCCGACGCCGUGACGAUGCAGCUGAUCGCCAUGGAGACGGACUUCAUACGCUUCUCCACGCACCUGCAGGCGGCGUCCGGCCUCUUCCUGCUCUGGGUCGGAGGUCACAUGGCCACGCCCCUCUGCGCGUACGACCCCGCCUUCCUGUCGCACGUGGCGUUCGUGGACCGGCUGUGGGAGCUCUGGCAGGAGCGGCGGGCGGCGGCGGCGCCAGCGGGCGUCUCGGCGGGCGGCAGCAGGGCUGGCACCACACCCCCAGGACCUCCAGGGGCCUCCGCCUCUGAGCUGUACCCAGAAGAGCUGCGCUUCGCUGGGCUGGAACCCUUCGGCGUCACCCUGGAGGACGUCCGACUCUCCAGCCAGAAGCUCUGCACCGUCUAUAUCCCCAUCACACUGGGCUCCCCCUGUAACCACACACACACCUCACACAUCUCACACACCUCGCACACCUCACACACGCACACACACACCUCACACACGGCCGGCACACACGCCUCACACACACACACAAGCGAUACAUCCAGAGGAGGAGAAGAGGAGGAGGAGGAGGAGGAGAGAGUGUUCGACAAGCGAGGUUUCGAUGUCGAAGGCUAUGACCGCAGUGGCUACGACAGCAUGGGCUGGGAUCGCCAUGGCUACGCCAGGGACAACUACAACCGCGACCACGUGGAUCGCCAAGGUUACGACAGCUUUGGCUUCGACCGCUACGGCUUUAGCCGCGCCAACCUGACGGCCCUCGGCAUGCAGCGGGAUGGAAGGCUACUCCUGUCGCCUGGCAACCAGCUCCUGGCCCACCUGUUUCCGGACGGGUUCAAUCGCUAUGGCUACAGCGCGUUGGGCCUGGACCGGCGCGGGUUCGAUGCGUUUGGCUUCAGCAGGGACGGGGGUGUGGAUCAGGACGGCUGCAACUUCUUCUGGGGCGGACCGCACUACCUGCGCUUCUACUUCCACGCGCUCAUGAACGUCAGCCUGCUCCCGCUCCACGCUCUGGCGAACACGCCCCGCGUCUGCCCGCCAAUCAGCCCCCUGCCCAGCCACUGGGCCAGUCAGAACUGGGUGGGCGUGGACUCACUGGAGAGCCGUGCCCUGAUUGGUGGGCUAGCUGAGAAAUGGGCCAAUCAGAGGCCGUUUCGGCAGGACUACAACCCCAACGUGUCGUCCGUGAGGAGGAGUGGCCUCUGGGUCCCCGUCACACCAGACCUCAGAUUCUGCUUUGCAUGGCCGUGGUACUCUGGCUGUCCUCUUGGCUCCGCCCCUGUGACCUGUCCCGACCUCUGUCAGUCAGCUCGUUGUCGGGGGCAACCAGGAGCGGUGUGUCACAUGAUCACAUGUGGCUCCUGCCACACUCAGUGGGUGGAGCCUAACAGUGGCCAGCCAAUCGAGUGCCAGGAUUGGUGAACAUGCACACACAUACACACUCACACAAACACACACACACACACACACACACACACACACACACACACAUACACACAUACACACACACACACACACACUCUCACACACACACACACACACACACACACACACACUGACAGAAGAGGAGACUAUGACUUAUUUCUGUUUGGCACUGGGGUGCAUCCGUGAUGUGUGUGCGAAAAUAUCAGUGAUUUGUGUGUCAGAGUGUGACAGUGUGUGUGAUGCCUCUGAACUGAAGUAUUUGGGUGCACGGGUUAAAGUACUUCCUGUGGAGUGGUCAGGAGUUGUCUGUAGUGAGGUAUUAGUAAGUAAAAGAACUUCUUGGUCAAAUGUGUUUGUCAUGAAUCAUUGCUCAGUGUAUCAUUUAGCCUUGCGCCAUAUAUGAGCUGUGCUUGGCAUGUGUGUGUAUUACUGUGUUGGGGACUGUGCGUGGUAUGUGUGUGAUGUGUGUGUGUGUGUCUGUGCUUGGUCUGUGUGGUGUGUGUGUGUGUGUGUGUGUGUCUUUGUGUUUCGUGUUAUGUAUGUGUGUGUCUGUGCGUAGUAUGUGUGUGAUGUGUGUGUGUGUCUGUGCGUGUUAUGUGUUGUGUGUGUGCGUGUAUGUGUGUGAUGUGUGUGUGUGUCCGUGCGUGUUAUGUGUGUAUGUUUGUGUCUUUGCGUGGUAUGUGUGUGAUGUGUGUGUGUGUGUCUGUGUGUGUUAUGUGUGUGUGUGUGUCUUUGCGUGGUAUGUGUGGUGUGUGUGUGUAUCUGUGCUUGGUAUGUGUGUGAUGUGUGUGUGUGUCUGUGUGUGUUAUGUGUGUGUGUGUGUGUCUUUGCGUGGUGUGUGUGUGUGUCUGUGCUUGGUGUGUGUGGUGUGUGUGUCUGUGAGUGGUGUGUGUGGUGUCUGUGAGUGGUGUGUGUGUGUGUGUGAGUGGUGUGUGUGUGUAUGGUGUGUGUGUCUGUGCGUGUUAUGUGUGGUGUGUGUGCGUGUGUGUGUGUGUGU